CGAAACGGCCAUUGCUGACUGAGUGCCCACCGCCGUUGGCUCCAAUUGCAACGAGGAAACCUGGGUUGAAUUAUUCUGUUCAAGAUACUGCCGCAUCUCAGGGAGACCAUCGCCAAUCCCCAAUCGCGUAAUCACCGGCGUUGGAGCUGUGAAACCAGCGCGACGCAAAUCAGCAAUGAAUCUUUGCACAAUCUGUUCAGCCGUUUCACGGGGUUCUGGAGGAGGAUCGCCCACCUCCAUGGUCGUCUCAACGGUGACGACACGGCGGCGUCUUCACCGAACAAGAAGACUGAUGGCUACAACUGAUUUUAAUCCGUUCUCUGCUGAUGUUUGCUCCGGCAGCCACCAAAUCCGGCUCCGGCGGAUGGAAGUUCUCACUUGUUUCAUUAUGUGGCUCACCAUGCUUCACGGUGACACAUGAGCUUUCCGGCUGGGAGACUGCCUUGAAUAUUUUGGGGGUAAAUCUGAAUGGGUUGUGAAAUUACAAAUUUGUCCAUGAUUUUAACACUAGUUAGUGAGAAAUCUGACUGGAGGGUUAUAUUGACUA